rnacentral:tRNA from 1 species
UUUAUGUUGGCAGAAAAAUGCAUUUGAUUUAAAUUCAAUUUAUGAAUUCCAUUCACAUAAAA